UCUUUAUAGUUUAAAUGAAAACAUAAGUCUCAUGAACUUAAAUUGUGGCCAACACCCACUAAAC
rnacentral:tRNA from 1 species